AGAGCGUACGGUGGAUGCCUUGGCACCAGGAGCCGAUGAAGGACGUAGGAGGCUGCGAUAAGCCUCGGGGAGCUGUCAACCGAGCUGUGAUCCGAGGAUGUCCGAAUGGGGAAACCCAGCACGAGUGAUGUCGUGUUACCCGCGCCUGAAUAUAUAGGGCGUGUGGAGGGAACGUGGGGAAGUGAAACAUCUCAGUACCCACAGGAAGAGAAAACAACCGUGAUUCCGUGAGUAGUGGCGAGCGAAAGCGGAAGAGGCUAAACCAUGGGUGUGUGAUAGCCGGCAGGUGUUGCAUUCGUGGGGUUGUGGGGUUCAUUUUGUCAAUACUGCCGUGUUGGCCAACAGUAAGAAAUCACAGGGUUAGUGGAAGUGGUCUGGAACGGCCUGUCGUAGAGGGUGAGAAUCCCGUACACGAAAACUUUGUGACUGUUGUAAUGGAAACCCAAGUAGCACCGGGCCCGUGAAAUCUGGUGUGAAUCUGUCGGGACCACCCGAUAAGCCUGAAUACUCCCUGGUGACCGAUAGCGGACUAGUACCGUGAGGGAAAGGUGAAAAGUACCCCGGGAGGGGAGUGAAAUAGUACCUGAAACCGUGCGCUUACAAUCCGUCAGAGCCUUCGAGCAGUUUACUGCUGGGGGUGAUGGCGUGCCUUUUGAAGAAUGAGCCUGCGAGUUAGUGGCAUGUCGCGAGGUUAACCCGUGUGGGGUAGCCGUAGCGAAAGCGAGUCCGAAUAGGGCGAGUCAGUGGCAUGCUCUAGACCCGAAGCGGAGUGAUCUACCCAUGGCCAGGUUGAAGCGACGGUAAGACGUCGUGGAGGACCGAACCCACUUAGGUUGAAAACUGAGGGGAUGAGUUGUGGGUAGGGGUGAAAGGCCAAUCAAACUCCGUGAUAGCUGGUUCUCCCCGAAAUGCAUUUAGGUGCAGCGUCGCGUGUUUCUCACCGGAGGUAGAGCUACUGGAUGGUCUAGGGGGCCCACAAGCUUACCGAAAUCAGCCAAACUCCGAAUGCCGGUGAGUGAGAGCGCGGCAGUGAGACUGCGGGCGAUAAGGUUCGUAGUCGAGAGGGAAACAGCCCAGAUCGCCAGCUAAGGUCCCUAAGCGUGUACUAAGUGGAAAAGGAUGUGGGGUCGCGAAGACAACCAGGAGGUUGGCUUAGAAGCAGCCACCCUUGAAAGAGUGCGUAAUAGCUCACUGGUCAAGUGAUCCUGCGCCGACAAUGUAGCGGGGCUCAAGUACACCACCGAAGCUGCGGCAUUCACGCAAUAGCCCCCCUUCACUCUGCGGAGUGUUGGGCAGGUGUGUGGAUGGGUAGGGGAGCGUCGUGUGGCCAUGGAAGCGGCAGGGUGACCUAGCCGUGGAGGCCACACGAGUGAGAAUGCAGGCAUGAGUAGCGAAAGACGAGUGAGAAACUCGUCCGCCGAAUGACCAAGGGUUCCUGGGCCAGGUUAAUCCGCCCAGGGUGAGUCGGGACCUAAGACGAGGCCGACAGGCGUAGCCGAUGGACAACGGGUUGAUAUUCCCGUACCCGUGUGAACGCGCCCAUGGUGAAUCAGUGAUACUAACCAUCCUGAAGCCACGAGAAGACCUUCGGGUCUCGAGUUGGUGGAUGCAUGGGACCUGAUCUGGUAGUAGCCAAGCGAUGGGGUGACGCAGGAAGGUAGCUGAGCCAGUCAGUGGUAAUACUGGUGUAAGCGUGUAGGGCGUGACCUAGGCAAAUCCGGGUCGCACAUAGCCUGAGACGUGAUGCGUAGCCGAUUGAGGCGAAUUCAGUGAUCCUAUGCUGCCGAGAAAAGCCUCUAGCGAGCUUUCACACGGCCCGUACCCCAAACCGACACAGGUGGUCAGGUAGAGAAUACUAAGGCGAUCGAGAUAACUAUGGUUAAGGAACUCGGCAAAAUGCCCCCGUAACUUCGGGAGAAGGGGGGCCCUGUCUGGUGACGACAUUUACUGUCUGAGCUGGGUGGGGCCGCAGAGACCAGUGAGAAGCGACUGUUUACUAAAAACACAGGUCCGUGCGAAGUCGUAAGACGAUGUAUACGGACUGACGCCUGCCCGGUGCUGGAAGGUUAAGAGGACCGGUUAGUUCCUUCGGGAGCGAAGCUGAGAAUUUAAGCCCCAGUAAACGGCGGUGGUAACUAUAACCAUCCUAAGGUAGCGAAAUUCCUUGUCGGGUAAGUUCCGACCUGCACGAAUGGCGUAACGACUUCUCAGCUGUCUCAACCGUAGACUCGGCGAAAUUGCAUUACGAGUAAAGAUGCUCGUUACGCGCGGCAGGACGAAAAGACCCCGGGACCUUCACUACAGCUUGGUAUUGGUGUUCGGUUCGGUUUGUGUAGGAUAGGUGGGAGACUGUGAAACGGUGACGCCAGUUAUCGUGGAGUCGUUGUUGAAAUACCACUCUGAUCGAAUUGGACCUCUAACCUCGGACCAUGAUCUGGUUCAGGGACAGUGCCUGGUGGGUAGUUUAACUGGGGCGGUUGCCUCCCAAAAUGUAACGGAGGCGCCCAAAGGUUCCCUCAGCCUGGUUGGCAAUCAGGUGUCGAGUGCAAGUGCACAAGGGAGCUUGACUGUGAGACUGACAGGUCGAGCAGGGACGAAAGUCGGGACUAGUGAUCCGGCACCGGCAAGUGGAAGCGGUGUCGCUCAACGGAUAAAAGGUACCCCGGGGAUAACAGGCUGAUCUUCCCCAAGAGUCCAUAUCGACGGGAUGGUUUGGCACCUCGAUGUCGGCUCGUCGCAUCCUGGGGCUGGAGUAGGUCCCAAGGGUUGGGCUGUUCGCCCAUUAAAGCGGCACGCGAGCUGGGUUUAGAACGUCGUGAGACAGUUCGGUCUCUAUCCGCCGCGCGCGUUAGAAACUUGAGGAAGGCUGUCCCUAGUACGAGAGGACCGGGACGGACGAACCUCUGGUGUGCCAGUUGUUCCGCCAGGAGCACCGCUGGUUAGCUACGUUCGGAAGGGAUAACCGCUGAAAGCAUCUAAGCGGGAAGCCUGUUCCAAGAUGAGGUUUCU
rnacentral:rRNA from 1 species